rnacentral:rRNA from 1 species
AUGGAGGCAGCAGUGGGGAAUCUUGCGCAAUGGGCGAAAGCCUGACGCAGCAACGCCGCGUGUGUGAUGAAGGUCUUCGGAUCGUAAAGCACUGUCGGGAGGGACGAAUAAGGGGCGGGCUAACAUCCCGUUCCGAUGACGGUACCUCCAAAGGAAGCACCGGCUAACUCUGUGCCAGCAGCCGCGGUAAUACAGAGGGUGCAAGCGUUGUUCGGAAUUAUUGGGCGUAAAGCGCGUGUAGGCGGCCUAGCAAGUUGGGUGUGAAAGCCCUCGGCUUAACCGAGGAAGUGCGCCCAAAACUACAAGGCUUGAGUACCGGAGAGGGUGGCGGAAUUCCCGGUGUAGAGGUGAAAUUCGUAGAUAUCGGGAGGAACACCAGCGGCGAAGGCGGCCACCUGGACGGAUACUGACGCUGAGACGCGAAAGCGUGGGUAGCAAACAGGAUUAGAUACCCGUGUAC